rnacentral:rRNA from 1 species
CGCGUGAGGAACCUGCCUUGAAGAGGGGGACAACAGUUGGAAACGACUGCUAAUACCGCAUGACGCAUAGGGGUCGCAUGAUUCUUAUGCCAAAGAUUUAUCGCUUCAAGAUGGCCUCGCGUCUGAUUAGCUAGUUGGCGGGGUAACGGCCCACCAAGGCGACGAUCAGUAGCCGGACUGAGAGGUUGAACGGCCACAUUGGGACUGAGAUACGGCCCAG